UAAGACGGAGGAUGCAAGCGUUAUCCGGAAUUAUUGGGCGUAAAGCGUAUGUAGGUGGCUUGCCAAGUCCUUUGUCAAAGCGUGGGGCUUAACCCCAUAACGGCGAGGGAAACUGGUAGGCUAGAGUACAGUAGGGGCAGGAGGAAUUCCCGGUGUAGCGGUGAAAUGCGUAGAUAUCGGGAAGAACACCAGUGGCGAAGGCGUCCUGCUGGGCUGUUACUGACACUGAGGUACGAGAGCUAGGGGAGCGAAUGGGAUUAGAUACCCCAGUAGUCCUAGCUGUAAACGAUGGGUACUAGGCGUUGAUCGUAACCACUCGAUCGGUGCCGUAGCUAACGCGUUAAGUACCCCGCCUGGGGAGUACGGCCGCAAGGUUG
rnacentral:rRNA from 1 species